ACCUACGGGACGCAGCAGUGGGGAAUAUUGGGCAAUGGGCGCAAGCCUGACCCAGCAACGCCGCGUGAAGGAAGAAGGCUUUCGGGUUGUAAACUUCUUUUAAGAGGGAAGAGCAGAAGACGGUACCUCUUGAAUAAGCCACGGCUAACUACGUGCCAGCAGCCGCGGUAAUACGUAGGUGGCAAGCGUUGUCCGGAUUUACUGGGUGUAAAGGGCGCGUAGGCGGGAUGGCAAGUCAGAUGUGAAAUCCGGGGGCUCAACCCCUGAACUGCAUUUGAAACUGUCGUUCUUGAGUACUGUAGAGG
rnacentral:rRNA from 1 species